CACAGACAGCUAGGAGGUUGGCUUAGAAGCAGCCACCCUUUAAAGAAAGCGUAAUAGCUCACUAGUCGAGUCGGCCUGCGCGGAAGAUGUAACGGGGCUAAAUCUAGUACCGAAGCUGCGGAUCUCGUAAGAGAUGGUAGAGGAGCGUUCUGUAAGUCUGUGAAGGUGAAUCGUAAGGUUUGCUGGAGAUAUCAGAAGUGCGAAUGCUGACAUGAGUAACGAUAAAGGGGGUGAAAAACCCCCUCGCUGAAAGACCAAGGGUUCCUGUCCAACGUUAAUCGGGGCAGGGUGAGUCGACCCCUAAGGCGAGGGCGAAAGCCGUAGUCGAUGGGAAACAGGUUAAUAUUCCUGUACCACCACGUGAUGCGAUGGAGGGACGGAGUAGGCUAGGUGAUCAGGGCGUUGGUUGUCCCUGUUCAAGGAUGUAGGCAGAGAGCUUAGGAAAAUCCGGGCUCUUAAUGCUGAGAUCUGAUGUCGAGUUUCUACGGAAACGAAGUCAUUGAUGCCAUGCUUCCAAGAAAAGCUUCUAAGCUUCAGUCACGUGGGAUCGUACCCGAAACCGACACAGGUGGUCAGGUCGAGAAGACCAAAGCGCUUGAGAGAACUUGGGUGAAGGAACUAGGCAAAAUGGUACCGUAACUUCGGGAGAAGGUACGCUCUCUUUGGUGAUCGGACUUGCUCCGUAAGCUGAGGAGAGUCGAAGUGACCAGGUGGCUGCAACUGUUUAUUAAAAACAUAGCACUCUGCAAACUCGUGAGAGGAAGUAUAGGGUGUGACGCCUGCCCGGUGCCGGAAGGUUAAUUGAUGGGGUUAUCUUCGGAGAAGCUCUUGAUCGAAGCCCCGGUAAACGGCGGCCGUAACAAUAACGGUCCUAAGG
rnacentral:rRNA from 1 species